AUGUUACUCCCUCCGUCUCAUAUUAAGUAUCGAAAUAUUACAUGUAUCUAGACGCUUUUUAGGCAUAGAUACAUCCAUAUUUGGAAAAAUUUGGGACACUUAAUAUGGGACGGAGGGAGUAGUUC
rfam:Brachypodium distachyon strain Bd21 chromosome 1, whole genome shotgun sequence.